rnacentral:lncRNA from 1 species
UUUUUUUUUUUUUUUUCUUUUGUCUUAAAGCAACUCCUUACAGAAGGGAAAGAAACAUUUUUAAAGCAUGUUUUUUAACAUAUUUUUAAAGAAUUUAAAGUAGUUGAAGAAAGAGUUAAUUAAGCUAUUUCUGGAUCAUAAUAAAAUGCAAAGUUUAAAAGCUAUUGGAAAGUAAUUUUGUUUUCAGAGUAAUUAACAACAUCUUCACUUCCUGUCCAACCUGAAACAACAAAACCCACUGAAUUCUGCCAUCCUGGACCUUACUGAACAGUGCUUCAGUUCUUGAUCCUACAAACACUUACCAUUCAGCAGUCUAUUGCAAUCUAAUUUCACCAACAAUGAAAGCUUUGCAUGCACAUUCUGAUAUUUAAAUACGUAUUUCUUGGUGAUAUUCUUAACACAUCAUCAGGACUACAUUAAAAUAUUUUUAAAAGUGAAAGUGGUAAAAUUGAACAUGAAAUUUAAAAUUGAGAAUUUUACUGGUAACUGACCAUUAGCAUGGAUAAUGGCUUUCCCUUCCAGCAAUUCCUUGCUUACUUCAAUUAAUAUUGCUUAACCUUUGUAACAUAUGAACUGGGAAUUCUACUAGCAGCAGUUUCCUUCACUGCACAAUUGCACAUGUUGCCCAAAUAGGUGCAACUCACAUACUAAAUACUCAAAACCUGAUCAAGUAAAUCGAUUGCAGCUACCUGAUGAAAGUCUGACCGAUGCCAUUUAUGAGUCAGGGCACCAUCUUGAGGUUACACAGUGCUUGGUAUAAAGAAUAAAGCUGGAAAUCAUAAACAUAGUGAAAAAUAAUGUUUUCUACUCUUCAAUAACUUUAAGAGGGACUAAGAAAAACAUAGCAUGGAACCAUAUCUGAUCACCAAACCUGUGUCUUCAGUGAGAUUCAGACUUUGAGGUUUACAGCACAACCCCCAUCACUUGAUCUAAUAAAGUGGGAACACAUCACCAUGCAGGCAAAUUGCAAACCAGUCAAAGGACAUGAAGGGCAGAGGACCCCAGAAUUUGCAGCAUCCCUCUACUCCCAAAUCUGCAGUAUAUUACAAGUAUCAUAGACACGUCAGCCCCAGACUAUCACAGCCCAAACUGCAUCAUUCUUUUUUCUGAUCUCCAAUUUUGGUUCCAGCUAAGCUCUCCCCCUUCAGCACUUGGAUUUAUCCUAUUUCAGCUAAUGGUAUCAUUUCUUAUAUCUCAAUAAUCCACUAUGACCCCUUCAUCUUUGUAUUGCUGGGCCAUCAACAGAAGAUAUUUCAGGACAACUGACUAUUUCUGUACAUGUAUCAGAGCAACUCUUGACAACCAAAGGACAACAGAGGAGGUCCUGGUUAGGACCUACAGAUUAUCCAGUGCAUCCCCCAGACCAAAACCACGCACACUAAAAAAAAAAAAAACCACACCAAACCAAAAAACCCCAAAAACCACAAACCAAAAGAAACCACUGAAAAACCCGACCAAAAAAAAAAAAA